UGUAAGUAAAAGAGUGGCAAAGCAUGCUGGGAGGUGAGUGAGUUUUUCGUCCAUGGAAGUGUGAAAUGGCAAACAGGUGAAUGUCCAAUUACACUGUUAUCUGAACUGUGUGACUUUUCUUGUCUUUUAUUUCAGCAUCCAAGAUACAUUGGUUGUUUGCUUAACCAUCGUUUUCACAUGAGUCAUCUGUCAAAGUCUGGAAGAAAUCUAAGAUGUGUUGCAUUAAAUUUGAAGAUUCCUCCUGUUUAGAAGUGACAAACAAACAAAAUCAAUAACUACUCAUUAAUUAAGAAAACAGAGCAUUAUUUUAAAGCCGUACAUGUGGAAAACUUACCAAUAAUAAAAAUAACACCAAACACCCUUACAUAAUUCUUUACAGGUGACAAACAGUACGAACGCCAAAGAAGAGUGUUUUUCCUUAUGACCUCGUAAGUUCUUAAAAUUAAAAAUCAAACUAGCUUUAA
rnacentral:lncRNA from 1 species